rnacentral:lncRNA from 1 species
UUUUACUUAUUUCAAAUGCAUGAUAUAAGUACGGUUUUGAUUUGAAAGGUUGAAUUUGCCAAAUUGGUACACAUGGUUUCAAAAUAUUUAUAAAUGAUUUUCACAGCUCGGUUUAGUUCCUCUCAUGCUUAUAUGUUAUAAGUACACUUCUGGGGGAAUAAACCUUUUCUUGAAAAUGUAAAGCUGGGAACUACUCGAACUUUGUAAGGCAUUUGGUACGUUAAUAAGUGGAUGAGGCGCCAGUCCUAAGUUUUAACAGAUCUGGUUGUAUAUGUGAAUCCAAGGAUAUUAUUGUUCAACAUUAUUUAAUGUGUUUAGGUAUUGUUGGGGCCUGUGAAGGACUGAUCAUCUUUCGCAGACCAUUGCGUCUUAUUUAAAUCCAAUAUGUAAACAGGUUCGAGAUUUUGGUUUUAAAGGAAG